rnacentral:rRNA from 1 species
AUGCAAGUCGAACGGCAGCACGGAGCAAUCCUGGUGGCGAGUGGCGAACGGGUGAGUAAUAUAUCGGAACGUGCCCAGUCGUGGGGAUAACGUAGCGAAAGCUACGCUAAUACCGCAUACGAUCUAUGGAUGAAAGCGGGGGAUCGCAAGACCUCGCGCGAUUGGAGCGGCCGAUAUCAGAUUAGGUAGUUGGUGAGGUAAAGGCUCACCAAGCCGACGAUCUGUAGCUGGUCUGAGAGGACGACCAGCCACACUGGGACUGAGACACGGCCCAGACUCCUACGGGAGGCAGCAGUGGGAAUUUUGGACAAUGGGCGCAAGCCUGAUCCAGCAAUGCCGCGUGCAGGAUGAAGGCCUUCGGGUUGUAAACUGCUUUUGUACGGAACGAAACGGUGAGCUCUAAUACAGUUUGCUAAUGACGGUACCGUAAGAAUAAGCACCGGCUAACUACGUG